rnacentral:rRNA from 1 species
UACAGAGGUCUCAAGCGUUGUUCGGAUUUAUUGGGCGUAAAGGGUCCGUAGGCGGUUUGGAAAGUCGGGUGUGAAAUCCCACAGCUCAACUGUGGAACUGCACUCGAAACUUCCCAUCUUGAGUGACGGAGAGGAUAGUGGAAUUCCCGGUGUAGAGGUGAAAUUCGUAGAUAUCGGGAGGAACACCGGUGGCGAAGGCGGGUCUCUGGGCCGAUACUGACGCUGAGGAGCGAAAGCGUGGGGAGCGAACAGG